rnacentral:rRNA from 1 species
ACGGAGGGUGCAAGCGUUAUCCGGAUUUAUUGGGUUUAAAGGGUCGGUAGGCGGACUUAUAAGUCAGUGGUGAAAGUCUGUCGCUUAACGAUAGAAAUGCCAUUGAUACUGUAAGUCUUGAGUAUAUUUGAGGUAGCUAGAAUAAGUGGUGUAGCGGUGAAAUGCAUAGAUAUUACUUAGAACACCAAUUGCGAAGGCAGGUUACCAAGAUAUAACUGACGCUGAGCGACGAAAGUGUGGGUAUCAAACAG